GUGGGGAAUAUUGGGCAAUGGGCGAAAGCCUGACCCAGCAACGCCGCGUGAAGGAAGAAGGUCUUCGGAUUGUAAACUUCUUUUAUGAGGGACGAAGGACGUGACGGUACCUCAUGAAUAAGCCACGGCUAACUACGUGCCAGCAGCCGCGGUAAUACGUAGGUGGCAAGCGUUAUCCGGAUUUACUGGGUGUAAAGGGCGCGUAGGCGGGGAUGCAAGUCAGAUGUGAAAUCUAUGGGCUUAACCCAUAAACUGCAUUUGAAACUGUAUCUCUUGAGUGCUGGAGAGGUAGAUGGAAUUCCUUGUGUAGCGGUGAAAUGCGUAGAUAUAAGGAAGAACACCAGUGGCGAAGGCGAUCUACUGGACAGUAACUGACGCUGAGGCGCGAAAGCGUGGGGAGCAAACAGGAUUAGAUACCCUUGUAGUCC
rnacentral:rRNA from 1 species